rnacentral:rRNA from 1 species
UGAUCCAGCCAUGCCGCGUGCAGGAAGACGGCCUUACGGGUUGUAAACUGCUUUUAUACGGGAAGAAUAAUACCCACGUGUGGGUAGAUGACGGUACCGUAAGAAUAAGGACCGGCUAACUCCGUGCCAGCAGCCGCGGUGAUACGGAGGGUCCGAGCGUUAUCCGGAAUUAUUGGGUUUAAAGGGUCCGCAGGCGGGUCAGUAAGUCAGGGGUGAAAGUUUGCGGCUUAACCGUAAAAUUGCCUUUGAUACUGCUGGUCUUGAGUUGCGGUGAAGUGGCUGGAAUAUGUGGUGUAGCGGUGAAAUGCAUAGAUAUCACAUAGAACACCGAUUGCGAAGGCAGGUCACUAACCGCCGACUGACGCUGAUGGACGAAAGCGUGGGGAGCGAACGGGAUUAGAUACCCCGGUAGUCCACGCCGUAAACGAUGGACACUAGCUGUCGGGCCGCUUUAGGUUCGGUGGCUAAGCGAAAGUGAUAAGUGUCCCACCUGGGGAGUACGUCGGCAACGAUGAAACUCAAAGGAAUUGACGGGGGCCCGCACAAGCGGUGGAGCAUGUGGUUUAAUUCGAUGAUACGCGAGGAACCUUACCAGGGCUUAAAUGUAGUGGGACAGGCUUAGAGAUAGGCUUUUCUUCGGACUCAUUACAAGGUGCUGCAUGGUUGUCGUCAGCUCGUGCCGUGAGGUGUCAGGUUAAGUCCUAUAACGAGCGCAACCCCUACCGUUAGUUGCCAGCGAGUAAAGUCGGGGACUCUAACGGAACUGCCGGUGCAAACCGCGAGGAAGGUGGGGAUGACGUCAAAUCAUCACGGCCCUUACGUCCUGGGCUACACACGUGCUACAAUGGCCGGUACAAUGAGCAGCCACGUCGCAAGGCGGAGCGAAUCUAUAAAACCGGUCACAGUUCGGAUCGGGGUCUGCAACCCGACCCCGUGAAGCUGGAAUCGCUAGUAAUCGGAUAUCAGCCAUGAUCCGGGAAUACGUUCCCGGGCCUUGUACACACCGCCCGUCA